rnacentral:rRNA from 1 species
UACGUAGGGCGCAAGCGUUAUCCGGAAUUAUUGGGCGUAAAGAGCUCGUAGGAUGUUUGUCGCGUCUGCCGUGAAAGUCCGGGGCUCAACUCCGGAUCUGCGGUGGGUACGGGCAGACUAGAGUGAUGUAGGGGAGACUGGAAUUCCUGGUGUAGCGGUGAAAUGCGCAGAUAUCAGGAGGAACACCGAUGGCGAAGGCAGGUCUCUGGGCAUUAACUGACGCUGAGGAGCGAAAGCAUGGGGAGCGAACAGG